ACGCAUGCAAGUCGAGGGGAAACGACAUCGAAAGCUUGCUUUUGAUGGGCGUCGACCGGCGCACGGGUGAGUAACGCGUAUCCAACCUGCCCACCACUUGGGGAUAACCUUGCGAAAGUAAGACUAAUACCCAAUGACGUCUCUAGAAGACAUCUGAAAGAGAUUAAAGAUUUAUCGGUGAUGGAUGGGGAUGCGUCUGAUCAGCUUGUUGGCGGGGUAACGGCCCACCAAGGCGACGAUCAGUAGGGGUUCUGAGAGGAAGGUCCCCCACAUUGGAACUGAGACACGGUCCAAACUCCUACGGGAGGCAGCAGUGAGGAAUAUUGGUCAAUGGGCGAGAGCCUGAACCAGCCAAGUAGCGUGCAGGAUGACGGCCCUAUGGGUUGUAAACUGCUUUUAUAAGGGAAUAAAGUGAGUCUCGUGAGACUUUUUGCAUGUACCUUAUGAAUAAGGACCGGCUAAUUCCGUGCCAGCAGCCGCGGUAAUACGGAAGGUCCGGGCGUUAUCCGGAUUUAUUGGGUUUAAAGGGAGCGUAGGCCGGAGAUUAAGCGUGUUGUGAAAUGUAGACGCUCAACGUCUGCACUGCAGCGCGAACUGGUUUCCUUGAGUACGCACAAAGUGGGCGGAAUUCGUGGUGUAGCGGUGAAAUGCUUAGAUAUCACGAAGAACUCCGAUUGCGAAGGCAGCUCACUGGAGCGCAACUGACGCUGAAGCUCGAAAGUGCGGGUAUCGAACAGGAUUAGAUACCCUGGUAGUCCGCACGGUAAACGAUGGAUGCCCGCUGUUGGUCUGAAUAGGUCAGCGGCCAAGCGAAAGCAUUAAGCAUCCCACCUGGGGAGUACGCCGGCAACGGUGAAACUCAAAGGAAUUGACGGGGGCCCGCACAAGCGGAGGAACAUGUGGUUUAAUUCGAUGAUACGCGAGG
rnacentral:rRNA from 1 species